rnacentral:misc_RNA from 1 species
GAUGAAGAACGCAGCGAAAUGCGAUACGUAAUGUGAAUUGCAGAAUUCAGUGAAUCAUCGAAUCUUUGAACGCAUAUUGCGCUCUUUGGUAUUCCGAAGAGCAUGCUUGUUUGAGUAACAGUAAACACCUCAAAGCUUUUGGAUUUUUUAAUCGAAAAGCUUUGGACUUGAGCAAUCCCAACACCAAUCUUUUUGAGAUCGGCGGCGGGUUGCUUGAAAUGCAGGUGCAGCUGGACAUUCUCCUGAGCUAAAAGCAUAUUCAUUUAGUCCCGUCAAACGGAUUAUUACUUUUGCUGCAGCUAACAUAAAGGGAGUUUGACCGUAUUGGCUGACUGAUGCAGGAUUUCACAAGGGUCGGCAACGAUUCUUGUUAAACUCGAUCUCAAAUCAAGUAAGACUACCCGCUGAACUUAAGCAUAUCAAUAAGCGGAGGA